rnacentral:rRNA from 1 species
CGCGGCCUAUCAGCUUGUUGGUGAGGUAAAGGCUCACCAAGGCAUUGACGGGUAGCUGGUCUGAGAGGACGAUCAGCCACACUGGGACUGAGACACGGCCCAGACUCCUGCGGGAGGCAGCAGUGGGGAAUCUUGCGCAAUGGGCGAAAGCCUGACGCAGCAACGCCGCGUGGGGGAUGAAGGCUCUCGGGUUGUAAACCCCUUUCAGCAGGGACGAAAUUGACGGUACCUGUAGAAGAAGCCCCGGCCACCUACGUGCCAGCAGCCGCGGCAACACGUAGGGGGCGAGCGUUGUCCGGAAUUAUUGGGCGUAAAGGGCUCGUAGGCGGUUCGGUAAGUCAGAUGUGAAAGGUUGGGGCUCAACCCUAAGACUGCAUUUGAUACUGCCGUGACUAGAGUCCGGUAGAGGAGUGUGGAAUUCCUGGUGUAGCGGUGAAAUGCGCAGAUAUCAGGAGGAACACCGACGGCGAAGGCAGCACUCUGGGCCGGUACUGACGCUGAGGAGCGAAAGCGUGGGUAGCAAACAGGAUUAGAUACCCUGGUAGUCCACGCCGUAAACGUUGGGCACUAGGUGUGGGACCUUAUCAACAGGUUCCGUGCCGUAGCUAACGCAUUAAGUGCCCCGCCUGGGGAGUACGG